rnacentral:rRNA from 1 species
UACGUAGGGUGCAAGCGUUGUCCGGAAUUAUUUGGGCGUAAAGAGCUCGUAGGCGGUCUGUCGCGUCUGCUGUGAAAACCUAGGGCUUAACUCUGGGCGUGCAGUGGGUACGGGCAGACUAGAGUGCGGUAGGGGAGAUUGGAAUUCCUGGUGUAGCGGUGGAAUGCGCAGAUAUCAGGAGGAACACCGAUGGCGAAGGCAGGUCUCUGGGCCCGUAACUGAGCUGAGGAGCGAAAGCAUGGGGAGCGAAAUGG